UUUUCUUUGGAUGGCUUGGCAAAUAUAUUUUAUUACAUAUAGAUGAAAAGUUAUUUCAAUUGAUUUUAAUUGUUUGAAGACCAGGGAUGAAAUAUGGCUUUACAAACUUCAAAUGACUGUUCUUCAUUCACAUUCCUGGACUGUCAGCCUCAGAUGCAGAGCAACACAUCCUUGAACGGAAAUGGAAAUAUGAGUGUGGAAGUUACCAAUACCACCUGUUGCAAUGCAUCUGUCAUGACAAAAAACCCAUCCACACGACAGAAAGAGAUGGACUCGGUGCGGAUCAUGCUUUACUCUCUCAUCUUCCUGCUCAGCGUCUUUGGCAACCUUCUAAUUAUCGUAGUCCUGACGGUCAACAAGCGUAUGCGCACAGUCACCAACUCCUUUCUGUUGUCAUUGGCCGUCAGCGAUCUCAUGAUGGCCGUCUUCUGCAUGCCCUUCACACUCAUCCCCAACAUCCUGGAGGAUUUCAUCUUCGGAGCUGCCAUGUGCAAGACUGUCACCUACUUCAUGGGGCUCUCCGUCAGCAUAUCCACCUUCAGCCUCGUUGCCAUAGCAAUCGAAAGAUACAGCGCAAUCUGCAACCCGCUGAAGUCGCGGGCUUGGCAGACCCGUUCCCAUGCCUACCGGGUCAUUGCCGCAACCUGGGCAUUAUCCCUGGUCAUCAUGGUGCCGUAUCCAGUCUUCAGCCACCUCAAGGCUUUCCACAAACCGGAUCGAACCAAGGGACACAUGUGUCGCUUAGACUGGCCUAGCGGUGAGAUAGAACAGACAUGGUACAUGCUGCUGCUUUUCAUCUUGUUCUUCAUCCCGGGGUUGGUUAUGAUCGUUGCCUAUGGUCUAAUCUCCAGAGAGUUGUAUCGUGGUAUGAAGUUUGAGCUCGACCUGAACAAAGAAAGUACCGCACUGAAGAAUGGUGUGAACACCAAUGUGAAAACCAGCAAUACUGAAACCGACGAUGAUGGCUGCUACAUCCAGGUUUCCAAGAAGCCGCCGGCCAUAGAGUUCUCCACCCUCACCGCCCCCACCCUGGCCCCACCUAAACCCAAAGUAUCAGCCGAGCACCCCCGUAGUAACACAUCAGAAGCCAAACUCCUGGCCAAGAAGCGUGUGAUCCGUAUGCUCAUUGUCACUGCUGUUCUCUUCUUCGUCUGCUGGAUGCCUCUGUACUCGGCCAACACGUGGAAGGCAUUCCACAUCAGCUCGGCACACCGGCUCCUCUCAGGAGCUCCCAUCUCAUUCAUCCACCUGUUAAGCUACACGUCGGCAUGUGUCAAUCCCAUUAUCUAUUGUUUCAUGAAUACACGUUUCCGCAAGGCGUUGCUCGCCACCUUUGCCCGCUGUCGCCCAUCAUGCUGUCAACGCCGCCGGGGCAGACGAGAUGGCGGGGACGAGGAAACCGGGACCAUGUGUCCUUCAUCCAUGUCGAAGUUCAGCUAUACCACAGUGAGCAUUGCAGGGACCUGCUGACUGUGUGUGGAGUCCAUAAAACAGCCUUAAUCUCAGUACGACUUCCUAAUUUGACACUGUAUAAAGGGGAAUCUCAGCAGGCUAUAGCAGUUGGAAACAAAGGAAUCAAUGCUACACGGUAACACACAAUAAGGAAAGUAAAGCAAGAUAUGUGACCGAAGACUAGAUGCUGUUGCUGGGCAGUUGAUGUUUGAUGAUACCUCACUGGAAAUGACCAUGUUGAAAACAAGUUGAAAAUAACUAUAUAGCUGCAAUGCUCAAUUACCCAUUUUUUGUAACAGAAAUGUAAUUGUGACAUGCUAAUAAUGCAUUAUUUCUCAAACUUGAUUUUACAAAAACCUGAAUAGAUAAUUUGGUGUUUUUAGUUCCUAUACUCAUCAAGUAUUGAAUAACAGGUUAUCAAGUAAUGUCCCAUGCAUGAAACGUUACAAAAGCAAAUGUGUAAAUCAUGCGUAAAAUUUUCAGUAGGGCUGUUUCCCACAUUACGUCCUCUGAAAAACUUUUAUAUUUACCACAGACACUGUAUAACUAGCCAAAUGGGUCAUUUGUUUCAAGUCUCUUAGCAUGAUUAGAGCUAAGAAAAUUCCAUUACUUCCCUUUCCUGCAUUACAUGACACCAAGUGGCCCACAUAUUGACUUGUAUAUAACUUGAAAAAUAUAUGUUCAAUUGCAGUCUUGCAAUUGGAGUCUUGCUGUGUCAAACAUCUUAAAUUACAUUUGGUAACACUUCACAUUGCAUUCUGAUGAAUUAUAACAGCAUGCUUAAAUUAACGUGUUACUAGGUAGUAAUCUCUUUGCUUUCAUUUUGUUUGCUGAUCAGCAUACAGUAGCAUUUGCCAGAAGUCUCAAUAUACCUUGUUUUCUCACUUUUCUACAAUUUUAAUAACAGGCAUACAACUGUGGUGUGGCUCUCACUUGUGCUUUACAAAAAAUAUAUGUAUUACUUAAAGCACAUUUCAUUAUACAAGGAUAAUCUCAAAAUGCAUAAAAAGGAUAAUGAAAUAUUUUAAAGACUUUAUCCACUGUAAAUACAGUAUUAUAAUAUAAUUAAAGAAAGUAAAGAAAGAAUCAAACUCUAGGAAAAAAGGUAGGUCAGCUAAUAAAGAUUGUUCUUCAAACCAACCCAACAGCCAAUAUGUCCCUGUGAUUGUCAGGAUGUGAGGUGCGUGGGAAGAAAAGGCUUGGUCCCCCAUUGUUCACAGCCAGGUCCAGGGAACGUAAAGUAGUCUGGAGUGCCUUGACGAUAAGACCAUAAAGUGUCUGGAGUAUAUAAGGGUAGAGAAGAUCAGACAGUUUAACAGGUCCAGUGCCAUUUGUAGGGAAGGCAAUUACAUCAUUUGAGGGACAGUUAGCCAAUAGAGGUCAGAAAGGGUGGGGAUGAUGUUUGUGUAAGAAUCCUUGCAGGACUAUAAAUAAUUAGUUUUAAUUAAUUUCUUGAGUUAGCUGGCAAUAACUCCUUUCCCAUAAUCAAUUCUGGCGAUAGGUUGUGUAGAAAUGACUAAUGUGGUUGUUGAAGGAGAGAGCGGGGUCACAUUUCAUAUCCAGGAUGUUAUGACUGAGGAAGGGAAAUAAUGAGGUAUUGUGGAUCCUGAAGGAGUUGGUGCUGGGGGGUGUCUAUCAGUACUGAUUAUGUCUUUUAAAGUUGUAGGAAGUAGUUCUGCAUUUCUCUUCCAGACUGUUGAACAUCCACAGAGCUGUGUCAGGGUUCGUACACCGGGGUAUUCUCUGCAUAGCAUUGGAGUUGGUUACUGUGCUGUCUGAACAUUUGGCCCAGUGGGGGAAAGAAGAGAAUAGGUCCUAGUGGUACACCACAGGUAAUGGUGGACUACUCUGAUAUUGCCUCACAAGAGUGACAGCUUGUGGUUUAAGACAGUCCUUUUGAGACACUGGAGAAUAUUGGUUUGUUGAAAACAACCCUUAGGACCAGAUGAAACAGGGUGGUGGGGGAUCUUGUAUCUGCAGCAAAGAGCAAGCCAUUUUCAAUCUUCUUUAAGGCUGUCUUUACUGUGCAUGGGUCUGAAGCCAGACUGAAGAGCUUUAUGAAACUGGUUAGUGCUAAGGGUGUGAAGUUAAGAGUGAAGUUCAUUAGUCAGGUUAGAAAUCCAGGUGUUUCCAUGCAGUAUGUGCUUCCUUGGUGUGUAAAAAAUCAAUCACUCUGUUAUGAAAGAACUAUUGUCUUUCAUGUGCAAGCAGUAAAAGCAUUGCCAUGUUAAUCUCUUAAUACCAACAAGGAUGCCGCAAAAUAUGUUGGCAGUCUCGAACACUUUUGAAAUAUUGUAUUUACAAUAUAUAUUAUUCCAUUUUAUGAAAUAUACAAUGUGACUACAUUACACAUUAGUAGAGUUUGGUUUUAUUGGUUAAUUAGAAGCAUAAUAUAUGAUAUUAAGUAAUGUACGUAUUAGCAUGUAUGUAGCCUUAUUCUCUAUGAAAAAGUUACUAUCUUGUACCUAAAAGGGUUUUUCAGUUGUCCCCAUAACAUUCUUUGAAGAAACCUUUUUGGUUGUAGUUACAACACUUUUCUGUUCCAUGUAGAAUACUUUCCACAGAGGAUUCUACAUAGAACUCAAACAGGCUCAUAGAUUAGAUUAAACUUUAUUGUCACUAAACAGUACAACUACAGAACAACGAAAUGCUGUGAAAUUCUAAAUGUGCAGUGAGGGCAAAUUGAAGGUGCAACAUUGCAUUUGCAACUGAAAUGUAGGUAU